CAGAGGGGGCAAGCGUUAUUCGGAAUUAUUGGGCGUAAAGGGCGCGUAGGCGGUUUAGCAAGUGACGGGUGAAAGCCCUCGGCUUAACCGAGGAACUGCCUGUCAGACUGCAUGGCUUGAGACCAGGAGAGGUGAGUGGAAUUCCCAGUGUAGCGGUGAAAUGUGUAGAUAUUGGGAGGAACACCAGUGGCGAAGGCGGCUCACUGGACUGGUACUGACGCUGAGGCGCGAAAGCGUGGGGAGCAAACAGGAUUAGAUACCCUGGUAGUCCACGCCGUAAACGAUGAGUGCUUGGUGUAGCGGGUAUCGACCCCCGCUGUGCCGAAGUCAACACAUUAAGCACUCCGCCUGGGGAGUACGGUCGCAAGACUG
rnacentral:rRNA from 1 species